rnacentral:rRNA from 1 species
UGAGGAAUAUUGGUCAAUGGGCGGAAGCCUGAACCAGCCAUGCCGCGUGAAGGAAUAAGGCCCUAUGGGUCGUAAACUUCUUUUGUGGUGGAGCAAUAAGGAUCACGAGUGGUCCGAUGAGAUUACAUCACGAAUAAGCAUCGGCUAACUCCGUGCCAGCAGCCGCGGUAAUACGGAGGAUGCAAGCGUUAUCCGGAUUUAUUGGGUUUAAAGGGUGCGUGGGCUGUUUGACAAGUCAGCGGUGAAAGCCCGGCGCUUAACGCCGGAACUGCCAUUGAUACUGUUGAGCUGGAAUGUUGGAGAAGGAAGUGG